UACGGAGGGUGCAAGCGUUGUCCGGAUUUAUUGGGUUUAAAGGGUGCGUAGGCGGCCCGUUAAGUCAGCGGUGAAAUCCCGGGGCUCAACCCCGGAACUGCCGUUGAUACUGACGGGCUUGAGUUCGGUCGAGGCGGGCGGAACUGGCGGUGUAGCGGUGAAAUGCAUAGAUACCGCCAAGAACCCCGAUUGCGAAGGCAGCUCGCUGGACUGAAACUGACGCUGAGGCACGAAAGCGUGGGGAGCGAACAGG
rnacentral:misc_RNA from 1 species